CCCAAAUCAGCAAAGAAUCAAAUUGAGAAUAGAAAUAAGUGUUAGGGUUCUUGAAACCCUCAAGGAGAUUGUGAUUCUGCCCAAUUGAACACCAAGAUAGUUUUCCCCAAAUUUCGACAAUCUAAUUUCACCAAAAAAGAGUAUGGAAAAACCCUAGAAAUUGGGGAUUUUUGGGCUGAUUCCUUAAGAUAGAAAAAGGCUGAAAACAC
rnacentral:lncRNA from 1 species